UUGCUUUCGCUUCCCCCCCUGCCCGCGUGAAUGCUCUGGAAGGGGCUGCAGAGCAGCUAUAAUACAGCAGAGGAGCUGGGCUAGGAGCUUGACUUCAGCAGAGGAAGGGAUAAAAUGAGCCAAGCAAUACGGAAAGAAGCAGCUAAGCUGGGAAAAUGAAAAACUGCAAAGGUACCCAGAACUGAAUUGAAAAACUAAUUAAUGUCUUAAAAAAACAACAAAAAACCAAACUAUUCCUGUGGGCAAGCAAAGCAACACAGUGAAGAAUCUGUUUAUAGCUUGCACUAGGAGCAGCCAAACUGUGCUUAUCACUGCGCUAAAUGAUUUGCUGAGGCUCUUAAUGACAGUUGCCUUUUUCUUCUCGGAAAGCUCGGCAAAGGAGUGAU
rnacentral:lncRNA from 1 species